GGUGGUUCUUGGGUGAUGCACCCAGAACCAGAGAGGAGGGAGACCGAUUCCAGGGUGCAUCACCCAAGAACCACC
rfam:Myotis lucifugus cont2.12030, whole genome shotgun sequence.